CUACUACUCCCUCCGUUCUUAAAUACUUGUCUGAGAAAUGGAUGUAUCUAGAUUUAUUUUAAUUAUAGAUACAUUCAUUUUUUGUAUUUUUAGGACAAGUAUUUCCGGACGGAGGGAGUACUCU
rfam:Triticum aestivum genome assembly, contig: Triticum_aestivum_CS42_TGACv1_scaffold_623427_7DS